rnacentral:rRNA from 1 species
GACGAACGCUGGCGGCGUGCUUAACACAUGCAAGUCGAGCGGUAAGGCCCUUUCGGGGGUACACGAGCGGCGAACGGGUGAGUAACACGUGGGUGACCUGCCCUCAGCUCUGGGAUAAGCCUGGGAAGCCGGGUCUAAUACUGGAUAUGACUCCAUGACGCAUGUUGUGGGGUGGAAAGCCUUGUGCGGCUGAGGAUGGGCCCGCGGCCUAUCAGCUUGUUGGUGGGGUGAUGGCCUACCAAGGCGACGACGGGUAGCCGGCCUGAGAGGGCGACCGGCCACACUGGGACUGAGACACGGCCCAGACUCCUACGGGAGGCAGCAGUGGGGAAUCUUGCGCAAUGGGCGAAAAGCCUGACGCAGCGACGCCGCGUGAGGGAUGACGGCCU